rnacentral:rRNA from 1 species
GUCGCUCCUACCGAUUUCGAGUGGUCCGGUGAAUCUUUCGGACUGCGCGCGGCUUCGUGCCGUGCCGCGGAAAGUCAGGUAAACCUUAUCACUUAGAGGAAGGAG